AUUGAACGCUGGCGGCAUGCCUUACACAUGCAAGUCGAACGGCAGCACGGGUGCUUGCACCUGGUGGCGAGUGGCGAACGGGUGAGUAAAGCAUCGGCACGUACCGUGAAGUGGGGGAUAACGUAGCGAAAGUUACGCUAAUACCGCAUAUUCUGUGAGCAGGAAAGAGGGGGAUCGCCAGACUCCUUGCUUUACGAGCGGCCGGUGUCGGAUUAGCUAGUUGGUAGGGUAAAGGCUCACCAAGGCGACGAUCCGUAGCGGGUCUGAGAGGAUGAUCCGCCACACUGGGACUGAGACACGGCCCAGACUCCUACGGGAGGCAGCAGUGGGGAAUUUUGGACAAUGGGCGCAAGCCUGAUCCAGCCAUGCCGCGUGAGUGAAGAAGGCCUUCGGGUUGUAAAGCUCUUUCGGCGGGGAAGAAAUGGCGCUUUCUAAUACAGAGCGUUGAUGACGGUACCCGCAUAAGAAGCACCGGCUAACUACGUGCCAGCCGCCGCGGUAAGAC
rnacentral:rRNA from 1 species